AGUAAGUGCCUGAUAAAAGGAUUAUCUUGAUAGGAUAAAUUAUGUAUAAUUAAUUACCUUACUU
rnacentral:tRNA from 1 species